AUUGAACGCUGGCGGCAGGCCUAACACAUGCAAGUCGAACGGUAACAGGAAGCAGCUUGCUGCUUUGCUGACGCGUGGCGGACGGGUGUGUAAUGUCUGGGACACUGCCAGAUGGAGGGGGAUAACUACUGGAAACGGUAGUUAAUACCGCUUAACGUUGCAAGACCAAAGUGGGGGACCUUCGGGCCUCUUGCCAUCGGCUGUGCCCAGAUGGCAUUCGCCAGUAGGUGGGGUAACGGCUCACCUCGGAGACGAUCACUAGCUGGUCUGAGAGGAGGACCAGCCACACUGGAACUGAGACACGUUCCAGACUCCUACGGGAGGCAGCGGAGGGGAAUAUUGCAUAAUGGGCGCAAGCCUGAUGCAGCCAGGCCGCGGGUAUGAAGAAGGCCUUCGGGUUGUAAAGUACUUUCAGCGGGGAGGAAGGGAGUAAAGUUAAGACCUUUGCUCAUGGACGUAACCCGCAGAAGAAGCACGGGCAAAUUCCGU
rnacentral:rRNA from 1 species